ACUCGACCCACAAAAAAGAAGCAGCUGUUACCAGCAAAGUUUAGGUUAAAGUUUUUCGCCGGCUAGUAAUAAAAUACAUUUAAACAGAUUUACUAACUUUGUAUACAUUGGAAGUGUUCUAGGGAAGAUGGCAGAGAAAGCUAUGAGUAACUGACGAGGAUCAAGAGUAAUGAACAUGCUUGCCAGUUAACACCCAAGCAGUAUCUGAGGGCCUGUAGCUAUGGGCACACAGUUCACAAUCGAUGACGCAUUCGUCCUGGAGGGGGAGGAGGAUAGUGUGGUGCCUGGAGAGGAUGUGGGGGACUGGAAGGGGAGAGAGAAGGAUGGCGGGGGAGAAAUGACAUUUGGACCUCUUUCUUUUGCAAAAACACAAACGUCUGGACCCACCGGCACUCCUGAACAUAGUAAUCUGAAAUAUCAGAACCUGGAAAAUGAAGAUGCCUUACAUGGCACUGUGAACUCUUCUUUCAAUAACUUCUUCAAAAUCAGUGAUCCUGCUACUCUGUCCUACUGCAGCUCUCAGUGGUCAUUCAGCACACUCAGCUCAGUCACACAGCUGUCUGCUCACUGCUGCGGGUGGACGUCUCACCCGCUGGUGAAGAAGAACAGACGAGUCGUUCUUGCCUCAUUCCUCCUCUUAAUCACUGGAGUUGCUUUGAUCUUUACAGGCAUUGUCAUACAGUUAAACCCUCUCGCAGGCGUUUCAAGUGCAAUUUUCUUUGUUCCUGGAUUUCUUCUCUUCAUUCCUGGUGUCUAUCACGUGAUCUAUAUAAGCUGUGCAGUUCGGGGACGAAGAGGAUUCAAGUUCUUUUAUUUGCCGUACUUUGAGAAGUAAACCGUUUUUCUUCGCAUCAUCCAGACAGGUGGUCUGGAUAACCCACCAUUUCAAACCCCUCUAAAAUGAAGUAAGGGGAUGACCUACUUUAACAAGCUCACUUACUAGUGGUUUUCUAAACCAUUUCUUCUUCGUUUUGGUAAAAGCCAGUCUGUACACAGGUCUAAGUAUAACCUCUACAGAUAAAAAAAGAAUGUGAUUUAGGAGUGUCAAGUGCAAAAAUAUACAAUCAUCCUUCAAAAGAAUGCACUGACUGUAAUACAUUUUUUUUAGUUACUAAAACAUACUCACUCCCGGGGCAUUCAAGAUGGAGAUGGCUUUUUUUAUUAUUCGGAAGAGAUCUGGAGAAAUCACAUCACUUGAUCACCAAUGGAUCCUGUUUUAUGAAUAGUCCAGUCUAUUGAUGAAUGUCUUAUAAAGAGAAAAUCUGCUUGUUACACAAAUCCAUCAUUGAGGUUUUUUAACUUCAAACCGCCGCUUUUGGCAAUAAUUCAUAAUAAUGCUUCUUUGGUGUAAACGUCCAUCCCCUGUUGUCCUCUCACAUCAAAAUCCACUGUGACAUGCGUUUAGAAUUGCACAUUUCUCUCCCAUUCAGUUUUCAACUAUUGUAUCCAGUUAAAAUAUGUGUCAUCUAUCCAUAAUAUUGCUUUCUUCAGUGAAGAUGUCUCAUCUGAAUCAGGAGAGAAAUAUGUGCAGGUCAAGCACUGUUUAAAAAACGAAGGGUAACAGGGGAUGGAAUUUUUACUGAGAAAGCGCUAUUGAAGAUACAAAAUGAUCUACAGCUUGGAUGGCUUGGGGGGGGGGGGACUUUUUUGUUUUGUUUUCAUUUUUGGGUGAACUAUUCUUUUAAAACAUCCACUUAUACAGAAUUUGAAGUUACAUCUGAUGUUUUAGAUUAGCUGUUAUUAUAAGUUCUUAAUUCAGUGAAACAUACUUGGCAUUGAGCAGGGAGUAUUAUAAUAAACUUGUUAUAGGUGCACAACGUUUUGUCAGGGAGCUUAGCAGAAUUAAUAACAUGAAAUUGCACACCUCUAGCCUUGUAUAAUUACAAACGAAAUCAUAGACAAAUGACAUGAAGAAUGUGAAGGAGUGGAUGCCGAGUUGCCAUAUCCUUCAUACUGAUAUUAUAUUAUAUUAUUACAUGAUUUCUUGUUUGACUAUUAAUCAAGUUAUAGCAAGAGUGAAAUGUGUAACCUUAUGUGUGCUGUAUUUCUUUUCCUCAAGAUUAAUGUCCACAUAUUAUGUGUGUGUAUCCAAUCGUAAUGAUAAGACACUUGCCAGUGCUAGAAAGCCUUGAAUUUUAGAUAAGUUCUCUGUGUAUGUGUGUUAGUAUCUGUCUGUACAGGGAGAAGCUCAGACAGUCCCAGGACAAACAAUCAACUGCCAGUGUCCAGCGUAUCAGAUCUACGUCUUUGGAGAGUUUUAUCUAGGUUUUGGAACCAAUCAGAAUUUUGUUGACUCAUGUAUUGACGCAAUUAGUAUCCUCUGUCAGGGUAUAACUGUGGUUGAUUUUGUAUUGUACUGAGGGCGGCCUGCGAACUCCUUCGAGAGUGUUGAAGCUGACUUCUGCUGAUGAAAUUGCAAACUAUUUUCUUCAAGUAAAAUUAUUAUUAUUAAUUGAACUCAUCUCUGAGUCCUGGUCUUCAUUGCGACAUAUCUGGUCCUUGGGUUUUAACUGUAAAUUCCCCUACAGUUAAUGGUGGAGGAUCGGCGGGCAAUAGUUCUUUGGUGACAUCCCUGAUCAAUCAUCAAACCAAGGUAGGAAAGAUUUUAGAUUUAAUAUUAUUGGUUAGGGACUGUCUGUAAGUGGAGGGGGUCGAGAGAAGGAGGAACGAUAGACUCACUCAGACGUGAGGGGGUAGACACCAGCUCCGGGGUGGAGUAAGGUAAAUUGGUGUCACAAUAUACCUGUAAAUUAUUAACCUUGUGAGUAUAAGGGGUACAAGUACACAUCGGUAGGUCUUGAUAUAAGAUAUUUAGAGAUGUGUACAGUUACAGAGGGAACAGGUGCACACCUAUAGGUCUUAGAGAGAGACGUAAAAAUUUGUUUCUAGGUGUGCACAGUCCAGGGGAGGACAAAAACGCAUUCUUAACAGGCAUGUGAACCCGUAAAGGGCAGUGCUGGGUCAAAGCACAGAGAGCCAAAAAGCACGAGAGGCCGUAAAGGGCAGUGCAUUUACGGCCGGGUAAGCCAAAGUAGGGGUAUGGGAAAUCCCGAGAAGAAUGUAAGACGCUAGACGGGGGUUCUAGUCGUAUCUCGCUCUUCCAACUCUCGAUCACCCACCAUUACAGACGGGGGCGCCCCGAGCUUAGAAAUAGGCCAGGUCAGUGGUUAGGGAACAGAGUAUCCAAAAUUAGUGUUUAAAAAUAAAUAGUGAUAAUUCAUAUGUGCACCUAUAAAAAAUAUAGGGAUAUAUGCAAAGGGAAAGUAUUGAUUGAUCUGGGAUGCCUCAGGAACAACCCCAAAAGAGCUAAAAUGUAGUUUUCAUGACCCUGAUUGGAUUGGACCAGUAUAUGGAAAUUCUGGAAUAUACUUUGCAGUUUCAUCACGCAGAAGUCAAGUGCUGUUGGUAAGAUCGCCGCCUCAAUAUGUUUUUGGUUUAUGAUAGAAAUAUGACUGACAAAUUAGGUAACCUGGUCAGCCCUGAUAGAAAUAAUGAAACAGAAGAGAGCAAAUGCUGUAAACAGUUUGGCUCUGAAGCUCUGACUUUAAAAAAAUAUAUAUAUUCUCUGAAUUCAUUUAAAGAAUGAUCAGUCUGAGCUUUAAUUCUGAUUGUAAUGUUAAAACAAAAACUUGAUUGGCUUUAAACUUAGAAAGAACCUGAGAAAUAAACAUUUAUAAAUGUAUGUGCCGAUUUGUUAAAAAUAAUCCCAGAAGUAACUGAGUGAUGAUUUAAUCUGAUUCUCUGUGCAUAGAAGGUUUAAAUGACAAAGAAUGAUAUCAUAAGAUCUGUUCCAGUUCUUAUAUAAUUGUUGAAAGUUCUGACAAGGCAUACUGAACAGAAUUCUGGGUUAGUGAAAAAAAAAAACUGAAGGCACACAAAUUGGCAGUGGCAUUUUGGAAAAACUUAGAAGCUUAUGUUUUGUUAAAAAAAGAUAAAAUUACUUUGACUACAAUGAAGCCGUUGUUUUAUCUCAUGCUGGCCCCCACCAUGACUCUGGCUCAAGCUUUGAAAGUACCAGAGACAUGUUCUGAGAAAAAAAAAAAAAAAAAAAAAAAAUGUAAUUUCUAUAUUUACUAAUGUUUGGCCAAAAGAGUCAUUUUAUUGUUGGAUUGCAAAAUUGUAGUCACGCAGCAUCAUAAAAAAAGAAAAAAGAAGAGAAAAGAAAAUUAUUUUUUGUUUAUGAGAUGAUAAAGUUGUAAACAAGUAACAUAAACGGGGGUUUCAAAGUAACUUUGAAGACAGCAUGCUAGCAAGACCCAAAGUAAUAUACCUGGGUCAGAUAACCUCUGACAGAUUUAAAACCAAUGUUGAAAUUCAGAAGCCAUGGCCAGAAUUAAGUGAAUGGAUAAAUACAAGUUGAUGUAAAAGUAAUGACAAUGACUGCAAAGAACUUUGAGAAACAUUUGAGUUGCGAAAAUAAAGUAAAAAUACAAUUAUAAAGAUGUUUAUUUUUAAAAUGCAUAUAAUUUCUGACAAGUUUUAAACUGGGCUAGAGUAAAAUGAUAGUACGAUGAAAUUAUGUUAAAAAUGAAUGAAAAUGCAUUGUUACGAGUCCUGAAUCCCUCAGAGUUCUCUCUCUCUCUCAUUCAAAGUAAGCUAAAAUGCCGUUAUCUGAGCUUGUGUUUAAGUGAUAAGAUAUUUAUAGUACAGCACAGUGUUUCAGUCAAAUCAUAGGCAGAGAUGCUAAAGGACAUGCUAAAAAGAGUUCAGAUUUAAUGCAUUAAGAGGGCAAUUGGUAGUUAAAUGUCCAACUGCCCAAUGCAUGUAAGAAAUAAGAGAUUAUAAAAAUAAUGAAUAACAGUUUAGGAGCAAUUGUUGAAGAGACAUGAGGGCUUUAAAAUCAUAAUACAGACCCUGAGCUAUAGAUGUAAUAAUUUUGAAUAGUUAAACAGUUGUAUUGCUAUUUGUUCUAUGACCAGUAACUUAUCUGUCUUAUUUUUAGUCUCCACCAUCAUACAGGGCCUGAUGGCUGCAGCUACAGAAGCAACAGAAAAUUACAAUGAAUGGACGGGUGUGAAAAAUUAAUUCACUGAGUAAUCUCAGCAUGAUAGUUUGGAGGUAUCCAAUUGAGUUUAGCGAUUAAAUAUUAGUUUGAUUAACCUUUUUCAAUGUUUUAACACUAGUAGGUGCUGUCAAUGGCUCUCAUGGUUCUUGAGUGCACCUUUCCUAAGCUGCAGGAAAUACUGGAUUCUGGAAGAAGACUGUCGAGGAUGUUGCAACGGGAAAAAGUGGUUACCAGUGUGCAUGAGGUGAUUUCUCAAUGACGGGUAAGAUCCUCUUCUGGCCAAUAGGGGACAACCUAAGGCAGGGGGUCACCGCCACUGGGCACCUGCCCUGAAGGGAGGUGUUAUAUGUGAGAUGGUAGUGGAGUUGAGCGGAUGCUCGAUAGGCCUAGAGCAUCAUUAAGAGGGGAACUGUAUGAAGUACAGCAAUCUGCCUCAAAAUGUGAGCUCCUCCAGACCUGAUCACCAGCAACCGCAUUCCUUGAUUGAUUGUUGUGACAAGCGUCCACAACUUGAUGCCACUAUGCCAGUGGAUCACACCCUGAGGACAAGGAGCCUUAUUUAUAAAAAGUUAAUGGCAAUGGGCUUUCAAGAACCAUCUGAGACCAUGUGAUGACAGCCAUUAUUUUGAGACAAAAAUUUCUUAUGAGGCUAAAAUGAUAUUGAACUAAUAUGUCUAUAUCAUAGUCUUUACUCAUGCAGGUCAUUAGGCAUGGCAUAAGAUGAUUACAAGAUAUGGUGGUGGCUAAAAAUGAAGACUGCUUCUGCUUAAUCAAGAGAUGGUUUAGAUAACAAAGGUUAAGGGAAUUAAGCAUGUAAGGUAAAAAUAAUUUUAAAUAAAUGUUCCUAGCAUUAUGUAUUUUAAACAGUUUAAACUGAGAUUUUGGAUCUAGAAACUUUGACAUUUUUAACUUAUUUGAAUAAUUUAGGGUUAUAUGUUGUAAUGAAUUUUAUAUUAUAGUCUAAGUUAAAGUUUGGCAAAAAUUGUCAAAAUAAAUAAAUAAAUAAUAUUUUGCACAGUAAGAGAGAGAGAGAGAGUGCUUGAGUGGAGGCAGGGAUGGUGCUCUUCUUCUAUUAUUGGCCUGCUAAGAAAGAGUAACCAAAACAGAGCAAUAAUUUUAAGACCAAAACAACCCAGCUGAUUUUUCUCUAAAUAAAAAUCAUUAAUGAACAGGCAAACUUUGAGAUUAGAUAAGAGAUUAGGUACAAACUUGGUAAAAUGCACAGACAAUGUUUGAGUUUAAAUCCUUCCGAUUUAAUACCAAAAGGAAAACCUUAAAUAUGAGCUGUUAAAAUAUAAAUGUGUUAAGUAUGUGCAUGCAUGAGGAUGGCUAUAUAUAUAUUAUUGGGGGACAAUUCUGUUCCUGUUUUGUUUCAAUUGAGUCACUAACCUCUGGAAUGAGUGUUUUAUCAUUACAGAUGUGUUAAGUGAAAUUACUUUACAGAAGUCGAUAAUUCUGAGUGAAACUAAUGAAAAGACAAUGCCAAACAUGGGACGAGCUUUAAGUGGAUUGGUUAUCCAGCUCUGUCUGCUACUGGUAAUAAUGACUUGUUUUGUCUUUUAUAAUGCUGAUUUAAAUCACUCUCUGGAUUAAUAUGUUUAAGAGUGUUUAUAUGAUUGGAUUUGUGAAAUUUAAGUUUGCCGUCCAAAAUGGGUUUAAAAUCCAUGCCUAAAUUUAAAUGAGGGUCUAAAUUUUAACGUUAACACUUUGUUGUUUGAAUGGUAAAGGUAAAUAUUUUAGACUUGACGGCAGAAAAACAGUGACAGAUUGGCUAAGUCACUAACCAAAUUAUCCAGAGAGCACCCUCACAUAGAGAAGCCUGGUGGGAAAACAAAGGAGUGAAUCCGGUUUAUGUAAUAUAGUGCAAAAGCAAAAGCAGCCAUAAGGCUUUGUGGCUCUUCAAGGUCUGAAUGACGCAAUAGUUUGGUUUAUGUAGAACAGAGAUAAGUUGAACAAAAACGUGUGGAUCUUCUGGGAUAGCCCCUUAAUGGAGGAAUACCAUAACAAGAAGUUUGAAUUAAUUGAAAUAGCACAGCAAAAAAAAUAAAAAUAAAAAAAUAAAAAAAUAAAUUUUGUUUAAACAACACAAUUGUAAUAGGCUCUAUAGAGCUGCUUAUGAACACCUGUCAAGUCAAAUCAAAUUAAUAUUGUGAACACUGACAGGGCUUUUUGAUAAUGUAUACUGUUUCAAUACAGAUUUACAGAAACUGAGGAUGUCUCUUUAAUAAAUAUUUGGGCGUUUAGAACUAAGUAAUAGUAUUGUUCAUUUAGUAAUAGUAUUGGGAAAUCUGUCUGCUCUUUUUUAGUUUAUAAUAAUUUUGAGUAAAUAAAUAUCACUGCCAAAUGACAAACAUGAACGAGGGUUUUAAAGACAUUGAUCACGUAGCUGAUGUGUAAGCAUUUCUAACUGACAAAACAGUGAGAACUAAAUUGACUUAAUACGAGGUAUUGAGGAUUUGCUUCUGAAUGUGUCAUUAAUAUAGUCUGAGUACAGUAAUAUGGUAUGAUAAUUGACAAGACUUACAUUUAAAAAAAAAAAAGGGGUAAUAAUAAGGCAAUGAGUAUGGUUAACAGUAAUGUCCUGGUAUAAAAUACAUGCAUGACAAUAAGUGGACGGGUUAGUUGUAUUUUUGAAGUUAGACACUUCGAUACUUAAAAUGUAAUUUUGAUCAAAUGUUGUUAACAAUGACAAGUUUGGGUUAAUGGUUAAUGUAUGUUUAAACAGCAUGUGAACUAUGAUGACUGCAAAUGGAUUCGUGGUGAAAGUAAAACUUAAUAAAAGGGCUAUUAAGUAAUAAACUAGGAACUGCUCUAGGUUUUCAAGGAAAUUAUGAUUAUGAUUAUUUUUAUUUUUAAAGAUGGCUCAAUAUUGAUUACUUAUUUUUGGUUUGUUUAUUUUUGUGUUUUUAACACCAAGUUUGGAGUGAAAGGGUAAAAUGGAUACUCAAUCUCUCUAAUUGCACCAUUGAUCGGGAAAAUGAUAGAUUUUCAUAAAAUAAGGGUAUCUUUACUGGGAUUUAGGUUAUAAGCAAUGUCUGUAUUUGGUAUCUGUGAGGUGACUGAGGGUCUGACAUAUGUCAGGAAUGCAAUAACAGUGGUUAUUCAUUUAGCCCGGCUUCCAGAGAAUAAUAUAUAUAAGUUUAUUGUAAUGCGUUUAUUUUACGAUAUGACCAAAUUAACUAAAAUCCAUCGUAGUUGUAUAAGACAUGUUAAAAGAAAACAAAUAAGACAAAUAUCCUUCUUAAGGGUUACAUUUUUUUUUUUUUUUUGAAUUGGUUAUAGUGUAUGCGUUUUUCUUUAAUGAUUUGUUAAAUCUGGUUAAUGAAUAUGCAAAUUUAGUCUUAAGGUUGUUGGAUAAAUGUUUUGUUUUAGAGGGUAAGUGUGAAGUAGCUGUAGUAGGAAGAGAGGUAUUCACAAAGAGAUGUUGAUGAAAGUAUAUAUGGAUGGAGGACACUUUUCCAGGUAGAGGGACACACAGAAUGAUUCACUGGAAAAGACAUUGUUAAGAAAGACUAGUGCAAGUGCAGCUAUUGUGGGAUUAAGUAAGUAGAUGAAUGUAUAUGGGAAGUAAGAAUGUAUAUGGGAAGUAUUUUGUACAAAAUAAUGUGUUUAUUACUAGAAAUGUCAGACAGUACCAGAGAUGUUAAGUAUAUGCACCUGCUUAAGUUGACAAACAGCCUGCAUUAUUAGCAUGCAUCACAACUACACCUGACCUCAUUUAUUAGACCAGAUGUUGGGUAUUAGACCCCACAUUGAUCUAAAACGGGGGACUGAAGGAGUGGAUGCCGAGUUGCCAUAUCCUUCAUACUGAUAUUAUAUUAUAUUAUUACAUGAUUUCUUGUUUGACUAUUAAUCAAGUUAUAGCAAGAGUGAAAUGUGUAACCUUAUGUGUGCUGUAUUUCUUUUCCUCAAGAUUAAUGUCCACAUAUUAUGUGUGUGUAUCCAAUCGUAAUGAUAAGACACUUGCCAGUGCUAGAAAGCCUUGAAUUUUAGAUAAGUUCUCUGUGUAUGUGUGUUAGUAUCUGUCUGUACAGGGAGAAGCUCAGACAGUUCCAGGACAAACAAUCAACUGCCAGUGUCCAGCGUAUCAGAUCUACGUCUUUGGAGAGUUUUAUCUAGGUUUUGGAACCAAUCAGAAUUUUGUUGACAUAUGUAUUGACGCAAUUAGUAUCCUCUGUCAGGGUAUAACUGUGGUUGAUUUUGUAUUGUACGGGGGGCGGCCUGCGAACUCCUUCGAGAGUGUUGAAGCUGACUUCUGCUGAUGAAAUUGCAAACUAUUUUCUUCAAGUAAAAUUAUUAUUAUUAAUUGAACUCAUCUCUGAGUCCUGGUCUUCAUUGCGACAUAUCUGGUCCUUGGGUUUUAACUGUAAAUUCCCCUACAGUUAAUGGAGGAUCGGCGGGCAAUAGUUCUUUGUUGACAUCCCUGAUCAAUCAUCAAACCAAGGUAGGAAAGAUUUUAGAUUUAAUAUUAUUGGUUAGGAACUGUCUGUAAGUGGAGGGGGUCGAGAGAAGGAGGAACGAUAGACUCACUCAGACGUGAGGGGGUAGACACCAGCUCCAGGGUGGAGUAAGGUAAAUUGGUGUCACAAUAUACCUGUAAAUAUGUAACCUUGUGAGUAUAAGGGGUACAAGUACACAUCGGUAGGUCUUGAUAUAAGAUAUUUAGAGAUGUGUACAGUUACAGAGGGAACAGGUGCACACCUAUAGGUCUUAGAGAGAGACGUAAAAAUUUGUUUCUAGGUGUGCACAGUCCAGGGGGGGACAAAAACGCAUUCUUAACAGGCAUGUGAACCCGUAAAGGGCAGUGCUGGGUCAAGCACCGAGGGACAAGGGACACAUAGGGCCGUAAAUAGGCAGUGCUGGGUCAAGCACAGAGAGCCAAAAGCACGAGAGGCCAUAAAGGGCAGUGCAUUUACGGCCGGGUAAGCCAAAGUAGGGGUAUGGGAAAUCCCGAGAAGAAUGUAAGACGCUAGACGGGGGUUCUAGUCGUAUCUCGCUCUUCCAACUCUCGAUCACCCACCAUUACAGACAGGGGCGCCCCGAGCUUAGAAAUAGGCCAGAUCAGUGGUUAGGGAAAAGAGUAUCCAAAAUUAGUGUUUAAAAAUAAAUAGUGUUAAUUCAUAUGUGCACCUAUAAAAAUAUAGGGAUAUAUGCAAAGGGAAAGUAUUGAUUGAUCUGGGAUGCCUCAGGAACAACCCCAAAAGAGCUAAAAUGUAGUUUUCAUGACCCUGAUUGGAUUGGACCAGUAUAUGGAAAUUCUGGAAUAUACUUUGCAAUUUCAUCACGCAGAAGUCAAGUGCUGUUGGUAAGAUCGCCGCCUCAAUAUGUUUUUGGUUUAUGAUAGAAAUAUGACUGACAAAUUAGGUAACCUGGUCAGCCCUGAUAGAAAUAAUGAAACAGAAGAGAGCAAAUGCUGUAAACAGUUUGGCUCUGAAGCUCUGACUUUAAAAAUAUAUAUAUAUUCUCUGAAUUCAUUUAAAGAAUGAUCAGUCUGAGCUUUAAUUCUGAUUGUAAUGUUAAAACAAAAACUUGAUUGGCUUUAAACUUAGAAAGAACCUGAGAAAUAAACAUUUAUAAAUGUAUGUGCCGAUUUGUUAAAAAUAAUCCCAGAAGUAACUGAGUGAUGAUUUAAUCUGAUUCUCUGUGCAUAGAAGGUUUAAAUGACAAAGAAUGAUAUCAUAAGACCUGUUCCAGUUCCUAUAUAAUUGUUGAAAGUCCUGACAAGGAAUACUGAACAGAAUUCUGGGUUAGUGAAAAAAAAAAAAAAAAAAAAAAAAAAAAAACUGUAGGCACACAAAUUGGCAGUGGCAUUUUGGAAAAACUUAGAAGCUUAUGUUUUGUUAGAAAAGAUAAAAUUACUUUGACUACAAUGAAGCCGUUGUUUUAUCUCAUGCUGGCCCCCACCAUGACUCUGGCUUAAGCUUUGAAAGUACCAGAGACAUGUUCUGAGUAAAAAAAAAAAAAAUGUAAUUCCUAUAUUUACUAAUGUUUGGCCAAAAGAGUAAUUUUAUUGUUGGAUUGCAAAAUUGUAGUCACGCAGCAUCAUAAAAAAAGAAAAAAGAAGAGAAAAGAAAAUUAUUUUUUGUUUAUGAAAUGAUAAAGUUGUAAACAAGUAACAUAAACGGGGGUUUCAAAGUAACUUUGAAGACAGCAUGCUAGCAAGACCCAAAGUAAUAUACCUGGGUCAGAUAACCUCUGACAGAUUUAAAACCAAUGUUGAAAUUCAGAAGCCAUGGCCAGAAUUAAGUGAAUGGAUAAAUACAAGUUGAUGUAAAAGUAAUGACAAUGACUGCAAAGAACUUUGAGAAACAUUUGAGUUGCGAAAAUAAAGUAAAAAUACAAAUAUAAAGAUGUUUAUUUUUAAAAUGCAUAUAAUUUCUGACAAGUUUUAAACUGGGCUAGAGUAAAAUGAUAGUACGAUGAAAUUAUGUUAAAAAUGAAUGAAAAUGCAUUGUUACGAGUCCUGAAUCCCUCAGAGUUCUCUCUCUCUCAUUCAAAGUAAGCUAAAAUGCCGUUAUCUGAGCUUAUGUUUAAGUGAUAAGAUAUUUAUAGUACAGCACAGUGUUUCAGUCAAAUCAUAGGCAGAGAUGCUAAAGGACAUGCUAAAAAGAGUUCAGAUUUAAUGCAUUAAGAGGGCAAUUGGUAGUUAAAUGUUCAACUGCCCAAUGCAUGUAAGAAAUAAGAGAUUAUAAAAAUAAUGAAUAACAAUUUAGGAGCAAUUGUUGAAGAGACAUGAGGUCUUUAAAAUCAUAAUACAGACCCUGAGCUAUAGAUGUAAUAAUUUUGAAUAGUUAAACAGUUGUAUUGCUAUUUGUUCUAUGACCAGUAACUUAUCUGUCUUAUUUUUAGUCUCCACCAUCAAACAGGGCCUGAUGGCUGCAGCUACAGAAGCAACAGAAAAUUGCAAUGAAUGGACGGGUGUGAAAAAUAAAUUCACUGACUAAUCUCAGCAUGAUAGUUUGGAGGUAUCCAAUUGAGUUUAGCGAUUAAAUAUUAGUUUGAUUAACCUUUUUCAAUGUUUUAACACUAGUAGGUGCUGUCAAUGGCUCUCAUGGUUCUUGAGUGCACCUUUCCUAAGCUGCAGGAAAUACUGGAUUCUGGAAGAAGACUGUCGAGGAUGUUGCAACGGGAAAGAGUGGUUACCAGUGUGCAUGAGGUGAUUUCUCAAUGACGGGUAAGAUCCUCUUCUGGCCAAUAGGGGACAACCUAAGGCAGGGGGUCACCGCCACUGGGCACCUGCCCUGAAGGGAGGUGUUAUAUGUGAGAUGGUAGUGGAGUUGAGCGGAUGCUUGAUAGGCCUAGAGCAUCAUUAAGAGGGGAACUGUAUAAAGUACAGCAAUCUGCCUCAAAAUGUGAGCUCCUCCAGACCUGAUCACCAGCAACCGCAUUCCUUGACUGAUUGUUGUGACAAGCGUCCACAACUUGAUGCAACUAUGCCAGUGGAUCACACCCUGAGGACAAGGAGCUUAUUUAUAAAAAGUUAAUGGCAAUGGGCUUUCAAGAACCAUCUGAGACCAUGUGAUGACAGCCAUUAUUUUGAGACAAAAAUUUCUUAUGAGGCUAAAAUGAUAUUGAACUAAUAUGUCUAUAUCAUAGUCUUUACUCAUGCAGGUCAUUAGGCAUGACACAAAAUGAUAAGAUAUGGUGGUGGCUAAAAAUGAAGACUGCUUCUGCUUAAUCAAGAGAUGGUGUAGAUAACAAAGGUUAAGGGAAUUAAGCAUGUAAGGUAAAAAUAAUUUUAAAGAAAUGUUCCUAGCAUUAUGUAUUUUAAACAGUUUAAACUGAGAUUUUAGAUCUAGAAACUUUGACAUUUUUAACUUAUUUGAAUAAUUUAGGGUUAUAUGUUGUAAUGAAUUUUAUAUUAUAGUCUAAGUUAAAGUUUGGCAAAAAUUGUCAAAAUAAAUAAAUAAAUAAUAUUUUGCACAGUAAGAGAGAGAGAGAGAGAGAGAGUGCUUGAGUGGAGGCAGGGAUAGUGCUCUUCUUCUAUUAUUGGCCUGCUAAGAAAGAGUAACCAAAACAGAGCAAUAAUUUUAAGACCAAAACAACCCAGCUGAUUUUUCUCAAAAUAAAAAUCAUUAAUGAACAGGCAAACUUUGAGAUUAGAUAAGAGAUUAGGUACAAACUUGGUAAAAUGCACAGACAAUGUUUGAGUUUAAAUCCUUCCGAUUUAAUACCAAAAGGAAAACCUUAAAUAUGAGCUGUUAAAAUAUAAAUGUGUUAAGUAUGUGCAUGCACGAGGAUGGCUAUAUAUAUAUAUUAUUGGGGGACAAUUCUGUUCCUGUUUUGUUUCAAUUGAGUCACUAACCUCUGGAAUGAGUGUUUUAUCAUUACAGAUGUGUUGAGUGAAAUUACUUUACAGAAGUCGGUAAUUCUGAGUGAAACUAAUGAAAAGACAAUGCCGAACAUGGGACGAGCUUUAAGUGGAUUGGUUAUCCAGCUCUGUCUGCUACUGGUAAUAAUGACUUGUUUUGUCUUUUAUAAUACUGAUUUAAAUCACUCUCUGGAUUAAUAUGUUAAAGAGUGUUUAUAUGAUUGGAUUUGUGAAAUUUAAGUUUGCCGUCCAAAAUGGGUUUAAAAUCCAUGUCUAAAUUUAAAUGAGGGUCUAAAUUUUAACAAGUUAACACUUUGUUGUUUGAAUGGUGAAGGUAAAUAUUUUAGACUUGACGGCAGAAAAACAGUGACAGAUUGGCUACGUCACUAACCAAAUUAUCCAGAGAGCACCCUCACAUAAAGAAGCCUGGUGGGAAAACAAAGGAGUGAAUCCUGCUUGUGUAAUAUAGUGCAAAAGCUUUAUGUAGUGGUUUAUGUAGAACAGAGAUAAGUUGAACAAAAACGUGUGGAUAGCCCCUUAAUGGAGCAAAUCCAUAACAAGAGGUUUGAAUUAAUUGAAAUAGCACAGCAAAAAAAAAAAAAAAAAAAAAUAAUAAUAAUACAUUUUGUUUGAACAAAACAAUUGUAAUAGGCUCUAUGGAGCUGCUUAUGAACACCUGUCAGGUCAAAUCAAAUUAAUAUUGUGAACACUGACAGGGCUUUUUGAUAAUGUAUACUGUUUCAAUACAGAUUUACAGAAACUGAGGAUGUCUCUUUAAUAAAUAUUUGGGCAUUUAGAACUAAGUAAUAGUAUUGUUCAUUUAGUAAUAGUAUUGGGAAAUCUGUGUGCUCUUUUUCAGUUUAUAAUAAUUUUGAGUAAAUAAAUAUCACUGCCAAAUGACAAACAUGAAUGAGGGUUUUAAAGACAUUGAUCACGUAGCUGAUGUGUAAGCAUUUCUAACUGACAAAACAGUGAGAACUAAAUUGACUUAAUACGAGGUAUUGAGGAUUUGCUUCUGAAUGUGUCAUUAAUAUAAUCUGAGUACAGUAAUAUGGUAUGAUAAUUGACAAGACUUACAUUAAAAAAAAAAAAAAAAAAAAAGGGGUAAUAAUAAGGCAAUGAGUAUGGUUAACAGUAAUGUCCUGGUAUAAAAUACAUGCAUGACAAUAAGUGGAUAGGUUAGUUGUAUUUUUGAAGUUAGACACUUCGAUACUUAAAAUGUAAUUUUGAUCAAAUGUUGUUAACAAUGACAAGUUUGGGUUAAUGGUUAAUGUAUGUGUAAGCAGCAUGUGAACUAUGAUGACUGCAAAUGGAUUCGUGGUGAAAGUAAAACUUAAUAAAAGGGCUAUUAAGUAAUAAACUAGGAACUGCUCUAGGUUUUCGAGGAAAUAAUGAUUAUGAUUAUGAUUAUUUUUAUUUUUUUAAGAUGGCUCAAUAUUGAUCUUACUUAUUUUUGGUUUGUUUAUUUUUGUGUUUUUAACACCAAGUUUGGAAUGAAAGGGUAAAAUAGAUAAUCAAUCUCUAUAAUUGUACCAUUGAUGGGGAAAAUUAUAGAUUUUCAUAAAAUAAGGGUAUCUUUACUGGGAUUUAGGUUAUAAGCAAUGUCUAUAUUUGGUAUCUGUGAGGUGACUGAGGGUCUGACAUAUGUCAGGAAUGCAAUAACAGUGGUUAUUCAUUUAGCCCGGCUUCCAGAGAAUAAUAUAUAUACGUUUAUUGUAAUUAGUUUAUUUUAAGAUAUGACCAAAUUAACUAAAAUUCAUCAUAGUUGUAUAAAACAUGCUAAAAGAAAACAAAUAAGGCAAAUAUCCUUCUUAAGGGUUAAAAAAAAAAAAAAUGAAUUGGUUAUAGUGUAUGCGGUUUUCUUUAAUGAUUUGUUAAAUCUGGUUAAUGAAUAUGCAGAUUUAGUCUUAAGGCUGUUGGAUAAAUGUUUUGUUUUAGAGGGUAAGUGUGAAGUAGCUGUAGUAGGAAGAGAGGUAUUUACAAAGAUAUGUUGAUGAAAGUAUAUAUGGAUGGAGGACACUUUUCCAGGUAGAGGGACACACAGAAUAAUUCACUGGAAAAGACAUUAUGUGAAGAAAGACUAGUGCAAGUGCCGAUAUUGUGGGAUUAAGUAAGUAGAUGAAUGUAUAUGGGAAGUAAGAAUGAUUAUGGGAAGUAUUUUGUACAAAAUAAUGUGUUUAUUACUAGAAAUGUCAGCCAGUACCAGAGAUCUUAAGUAUAUGCACCUGCUUAAGUUGACCAACAGCCUGCAUUCUUAGCAUGCAUCACAACUACACCUGACCUCAUUUAUUAGACCAGAUGUGGGGUAUUAGACCCCACAUUGAUCUAAAACGGGGGACUGAAGGAGUGGAUGCCGAGUUGCCAUAUCCUUCAUACCAGAGAUGGGACCAAGUCCCCAUGUCUGCUUCAUACUGAUAUUAUAUUAUAUUAUUACAUGAUUUCUUGUUUGACUAUUAAUCAAGUUAUAGCAAGAGUGAAAUGUGUAACCUUAUGUGUGCUGUAUUUCUUUUCCUCAAGAUUAAUGUCCACAUAUUAUGUGUGUGUAUCCAACCGUAAUGAUAAGACACUCGCCAGUGCUAGAAAGCCUUGAAUUUUAGAUAAGUUCUCUGUGUACGUGUGUUAGUAUCUGUCUGUACAGGGAGAAGCUCAGACAGUCCCAGGACAAACGAUCAACUGCCAGUGUCCAGCAUAUCAGAUAUACGUCUUUGGAGAGUUUUAUCUAGGUUUUGGAACCAAUCAGAAUUUUGUUGACAUAUGUAUUGACGCAAUUAGUAUCCUCUGUCAGGGUAUAACUGUGGUUGAUUUUGUAUUGUACGGGGGGCGGCCUGCGAACUCCUUCGAGAGUGUUGAAGCUGACUUCUGCUGAUGAAAUUGCAAACUAUUUUCUUCAAGUAAAAUUAUUAUUAUUAAUUGAACUCA